rnacentral:rRNA from 1 species
AGAGUUUGAUCCUGGCUCAGGACGAACGCUGGCGGCGUGCUUAAUGCAUGCAAGUCGAACGAAGAACCCACUAUGGGUAACCACUGUGGAAUUCUUAGUGGCGAACGGGUGAGUAACACGUGAGAAACCUGCCCCGGAGACCGGAAUAGCCCAGGGAAACCUGGAUUAAUACCGGAUACCCUCUUGCGAUCGCAUGAUCGAUUGAGGAAAUGGUCCGCCGCUCCGGGAUGGUCUCGCGCCCUAUCAGCUAGUUGGUGAGGUAACGGCUCACCAAGGCAAUGACGGGUAGCUGGUCUGAGAGGACGAUCAGCCACACUGGGACUGAGACACGGCCCAGACUCCUACGGGAGGCAGCAGCAGGGAAUUUUGCACAAUGGGCGAAAGCCUGAUGCAGCGACGCCGCGUGGGGGAUGAAUGCCUUCGGGUUGUAAGCCCCUUUCAGGAGGGACGAAGCGAAAGUGACGGUACCUCCAGAAGAAGCCCCGGCCAACUACGUGCCAGCAGCCGCGGUAAUACGUAGGGGGCGAGCGUUGUCCGGAUUUAUUGGGCGUAAAGAGCUCGUAGGCGGCUCAGCAAGUCGGCCGUGAAAACCUGAGGCUCAACCUCAGGACGCCGGUCGAAACUGCUGUGGCUAGGGUUCGGUAGAGGAGAGUGGAAUUCCCGGUGUAGCGGUGAAAUGCGCAGAUAUCGGGAGGAACA